rnacentral:rRNA from 1 species
UACGGAAGGUCCGGGCGUUAUCCGGAUUUAUUGGGUUUAAAGGGAGCGCAGGCCGGAGGGUAAGCGUGACGUGAAAUGCCGCGGCUCAACCGUGGAAGUGCGUCGCGAACUGUCCUUCUUGAGUGUAUUCGACGUAGGCGGAAUUCGUGGUGUAGCGGUGAAAUGCUUAGAUAUCACGAAGAACCCCGAUUGCGAAGGCAGCCUACGAGGCUACAACUGACGCUAAAGCUCGAAGGUGCGGGUAU